rnacentral:rRNA from 1 species
AUUGAACGCUGGCGGCAGGCCUAACACAUGCAAGUCGAGCGGAUGAAGGGAGCUUGCUCCUGGAUUCAGCGGCGGACGGGUGAGUAAUGCCUAGGAAUCUGCCUGGUAGUGGGGGAUAACGUCCGGAAACGGGCGCUAAUACCGCAUACGUCCUGAGGGCGCAAGUGGGGGAUCUUCGGACCUCACGCUCUCAGAUGAGCCUAGGUGGGAUUAGCUAGUUGGUGGGGUAAAGGCCUACCAAGGCGACGAUCCGUAACUGGUCUGAGAGGAUGAUCAGUCACACUAGAACGGGGACACGGUCCAGACGCCUACGGGAGGCAGCAGUGGGGAAUAUUGGACAGUGGGCGGAAGCCUGAUCCAACCAUGCCGCGUGUGUGAAAGAGGUCUUCGGAUUGUAAAGCACUUUAAGUUGGGAGGAAGGGCAGUAAGUUAAUACCUUGCUGUUUUGACGGUACCAACAGAAGAAGCACCGGCUAACUUCGUG